CACGUAGGGUGCGAGCGUUGUCCGGAAUUAUUGGGCGUAAAGAGCUCGUAGGCGGUUUGGUAAGUCGGGUGUGAAAUCUCCACGCUCAACGUGGAGGGGCCACUCGAUACUGCCAUGACUCGAGUCCGGUAGAGGAGUGUGGAAUUCCCGGUGUAGCGGUGAAAUGCGCAGAUAUCAGGAGGAACACCGGUGGCGAAGGCGGGUCUCUGGGCCGAUACUGACGCUGAGGAGCGAAAGCGUGGGGAGCGAACAGG
rnacentral:rRNA from 1 species